AAUGGAUAAAUGAUGUGAUAUAAACUGCGUUAUCUAUCUGCAAAUUUCUCUCGAGGAAUUGAAGAAAAUAUUUAGUACACUGAUAUCCAAG
rfam:Beta vulgaris subsp. vulgaris chromosome 3, whole genome shotgun sequence.